rnacentral:rRNA from 1 species
GACGAACGCUGGCGGCGUGCUUAACACAUGCAAGUCGAACGCUGAAGCUCAGCUUUUGUUGGGUGGAUGAGUGGCGAACGGGUGAGUAACACGUGAGUAACCUGCCUCCUUCUUUGGGAUAACGCCCGGAAACGGGUGCUAAUACUGGAUAUUCACUGGUCUUCGCAUGGGGGUUGGUGGAAAGGGUUUUUCUGGUGGGGGAUGGGCUCGCGGCCUAUCAGCUUGUUGGUGGGGUGAUGGCCUACCAAGGCUUUGACGGGUAGCCGGCCUGAGAGGGUGACCGGUCACAUUGGGACUGAGAUACGGCCCAGACUCCUACGGGAGGCAGCAGUGGGGAAUAUUGCACAGUGGGCGCAAGCCUGAUGCAGCGACGCCGCGUGAGGGAUGGAGGCCUUCGGGUUGUGAACCUCUUUCGCUCAUGGUCAAGCCGCAACAAUGGUUGUGGUGAGGGUAGUGGGUAAAGAAGCGCCGGCUAACUACGUG